AGCUUGACUGCGAGCGUGACGGCGCGAGCAGGUGCGAAAGCAGGUCAUAGUGAUCCGGUGGUUCUGAAUGGAAGGGCCAUCGCUCAACGGAUAAAAGGUACUCCGGGGAUAACAGGCUGAUACCGCCCAAGAGUUCAUAUCGACGGCGGUGUUUGGCACCUCGAUGUCGGCUCAUCACAUCCUGGGGCUGAAGUAGGUCCCAAGGGUAUGGCUGUUCGCCAUUUAAAGUGGUACGCGAGCUGGGUUUAGAACGUCGUGAGACAGUUCGGUCCCUAUCUGCCGUGGGCGCUGGAGAACUGAGGGGGGCUGCUCCUAGUACGAGAGGACCGGAGUGGACGCAUCACUGGUGUUCGGGUUGUCAUGCCAAUGGCACUGCCCGGUAGCUAAAUGCGGAAGAGAUAAGUGCUGAAAGCAUCUAAGCACGAAACUUGCCCCGAGAUGAGUUCUCCCUGAGACUUAG
rnacentral:rRNA from 1 species